GAGCGGGCACUUUCGGGUGUCAGCGGCAGACGGGUGAGUAACACGUGGGAACGUACCCUUUGGUUCGGAAUAACGCUGGGAAACUAGCGCUAAUACCGGAUACGCCCUUUUGGGGAAAGGCUUGCUGCCGAAGGAUCGGCCCGCGUCUGAUUAGCUAGUUGGUGGGGUAAUGGCCCACCAACGCGACGAUCAGUAUCUGGUCUGAGAGGAUGAUCAGCCACACUGGGUACUGAUACACUGCCCAGACUCCUACGGGAGGCAGCAGUGGGGAAUAUUGGACAAUGGGCGCAAGCCUGAUCCAGCCAUGCCGCGUGAGUGAUGAACGCCUUACGGUUGUAAAGCUCUUUUGUCCGGGACGAUAAUGACGGUACCGGAAGAAUUAGCCCCGGCUAACUUCGUG
rnacentral:rRNA from 1 species